CCACUUCCAGUUAAAGACCCAAAAUUUCCUAUCAAACUCCCCCAGUUCCCUCUGGGCCCUUCAUAUUUCGUCUUUAUCUACAAGGAGUUUAGGGUUUCCUCUCUUAACUCGCAUUGUUUACCAUCAGAGACGCAAUUUCCUCUCGGCCAAGAAGAAAACCCAUCUCAUUUAUGAAAAGAGGAGAUUUAAAGGAGAUAGCAGAGGUCUAUAUCCCAGAAGUUGAAGUUUGAGUAACAUUAAGGUACAAUCGUUUUCUUGUGUUGGCUUGAUUCAGUUUCUUUUUGGGUCAAUUUGACUUUUCUCUUGCACAUCACUAUUCAUGAAAAACUCACAUUUCCCGUCAAUUCCAAUUUGUGCUACCGAAGCAACAAAAUAAACAAAUUCCGACAAUUUCAGUUCUUGCUGACUUUUUAUUUCUAGGGUUUCGUUGAUUUUCGCAGAUAUUGUUGCAUCGAGGUAAGCUAAAGUCACUCCUUUCUAACUUAGGGUUUCGUUAUUACACCGUUUCUGCAUUUUGUCAAACUUUUCGGCUCUCUAAACAACUAUCGCUUUGUUGCCCUUGAAGUUUUUGGCUCUAUUCAUUUCUGCUUAUAGAACAGGUGGCCGGCCGCGACCAGUGCUACUUUUCUUCAAUUUGAGAAAAUUUCCUUUGUUGAGGUAGUAACCAAUACGCUGAAGAUAAUAAUGUGCCUUCCUAUGAAACUGUACAAAAGGAGCCGCACUUGGUGGGCAGCCAAUAUUAUCUUGUUAUGAAAGUUUGUUGCUGCAUUCUAAGGUCAUAUUCUUCAAAAGGAAAUGAAACUAGCCAAGGACGAGCUCGAAGACAUUUGGAUUGUGUUGUUUUUUUCUGGCAUUUCAUAUGUAUAGAAUUCCUAUUUAUUAUGAAUUUUUAAUAAAAUGUUCCUUGAUCAUUCUGUUUGAUAGAA